rnacentral:rRNA from 1 species
UACGUAGGGGGCUAGCGUUGUCCGGAAUCAUUGGGCGUAAAGAGCGUGUAGGCGGCCCGGUAAGUCCGCUGUGAAAGUCGGGGGCUCAACCCUCGAAUGCCGGUGGAUACUGUCGGGCUAGAGUGCGGAAGAGGCGAGUGGAAUUCCUGGUGUAGCGGUGAAAUGCGCAGAUAUCAGGAGGAACACCAAUUGCGAAGGCAGCUCGCUGGGGCGUAACUGACGCUGAGACGCGAAAGCGUGGGGAGCAAACAGG